GGUCAAGUUAUUAAGGGUGCAGGGUGGAUGCCUUGGCACUAGGAGCCGAUGAAGGACGUGAUAAGCUGCGAUAAGCUUCGGGGAGUUGCACGUAAACUUUGAUCCGAAGAUUUCCGAAUGAGGAAACUCACUUAGAGUAAUGUCUAAGUAUCAUUAAGUGAAUACAUAGCUUAAUGAGGGGAACUCAGGGAACUGAAACAUCUAAGUACCUGAAGGAAGAGAAAGAAAUUCGAUUCCGUAAGUAGCGGCGAGCGAACGCGGAUUAGCCCAAACCAAUAAAGUUUUCUUUAUUGGGGUUGCGGACAUAUCAUAACGAAGAGGUAUCGUAAUUGAAGAGGUUUGGAAAGACCCACCACAGAAGGUAAUAGUCCUGUAUGUUAAACGAGAAGACUUCAGAUAUGAUCCAGAGUACCACGGGACACGUGAAACCCUGUGGGAAGCAGGAGGGACCACCCUCCAAGGCUAAAUACUACCUAGUGACCGAUAGCGUAUAGUACCGUGAGGGAAAGGUGAAAAGAACCCCGGGAGGGGAGUGAAAUAGAACCUGAAACCCUGCACUUACAAGCUGUGGAAGCACAUUUCUUGUGUGACCGCGUACUUUUUGUAGAACGGGCCAACGAGUUACGUUAAGUAGCAAGGUUAAGCACUUAAGGUGCGGAGCCGUAGCGAAAGCGAGUUUUAACUGAGCGUUCAGUUACUUGACGUAGACCCGAAACCGGGCGACCUACCCAUGAGCAGGAUGAAGCGAAAGUAAAAUUUCGUGGAGGUCCGAACCCACGAGCGUUGAAAAGCUCGGGGAUGACUUGUGGGUAGCGGUGAAAUUCCAAUCGAGCCCGGAGAUAGCUGGUUCUCCCCGAAAUAGCUUUAGGGCUAGCCUCAAGGUGAGAGAUACGGAGGUAGAGCACUGAAUGUCCUAGGGGGUAUUGCACCUACCGAAGACUAUCAAACUCCGAAUGCCGUCAUCUUAUACUUGGGAGUCAGACUGUGGGUGAUAAGAUUCAUAGUCGAAAGGGCAACAGCCCAGAUCGUCAGCUAAGGUCCCUAAAUGUAAGUUAAGUGGUAAAGGAUGUGGGAUUGCACAGACAACCAGGAUGUUGGCUUAGAAGCAGCCACUCAUUCAAAGAGUGCGUAAUAGCUCACUGGUCGAGUGAUCCUGCGCCGAAGAUUUCCGGGGCUAAAACUUACUACCGAAGCUACGGCAUCAGUAAUGAUGGGUAGGGGAGCUUCCCAUACGGGUUGAAGCAUGACCGUAAGGACAUGUGGACAGUAUGGGAGUGAGAAUGUUGGCAUGAGUAGCGAGAUGUGGGUGAGAAUCCCACAGGCCGUAAACCCAAGGUUUCCAGGGGAAGGUUCGUCCGCCCUGGGUUAGUCGGGACCUAAGCUGAGGCCGAAAGGCGUAGGUGAUGGACAACAGGUUGAUAUUCCUGUACUACCGAUAACCGUUUGAGAGAAGGGAUGACACAGUAGGAUAAGCUAAGCACACUGUUGGUUAUGUGUGCCCAAGCAUUGAGGCAGUCAAAGUAGGCAAAUCCGCUUUGAUAAUGCUGGGAUGUGAUGGGGAGCGAAAUUUAGUAGCGAAGUAGCUGAUUUCACACUGUCAAGAAAAGUCUCUAUCGAGGUUAAAGGUACCCGUACCGCAAACCGACACAGGUGGGUGAGGAGAGUAUCCUAAGGCCAGCGAGAGAACUGUUGUUAAGGAACUCGGCAAAAUGACCCCGUAACUUAGGGAUAAGGGGUGCCACCAUCAGGUGGCCGCAGAGAAUAGGCCCAAGCGACUGUUUACCAAAAACAUAGGUUUCUGCUAAGUCGCAAGACGAUGUAUAGGAGCUGACGCCUGCCCGGUGCUGGAAGGUUAAGGGGAUCUGUUAGAGCAAUCGAAGCAGUGAACUUAAGCCCCAGUAAACGGCGGCCGUAACUAUAACGGUCCUAAGGUAGCGAAAUUCCUUGUCGGGUAAGUUCCGACCCGCACGAAAGGCGUAACGAUUUGGGCACUGUCUCAACAACAGACUCGGUGAAAUUGUAAUUCCGGUGAAGAUGCCGGAUACCUGCGACAGGACGGAAAGACCCCAUGGAGCUUUACUGUAGCUUGACAUUGGGUCUUGGUACUACAUGUACAGGAUAGGUGGGAGGCUUUGAAACCAGGACGCCAGUUUUGGCGGAGCCAUCCUUGGGAUACCACCCUUGUAGUACUGGGACUCUAACCAUAGGCCAUGAAUCUGGUCUUGGGACACUGUCAGGUGGGCAGUUUGACUGGGGCGGUCGCCUCCCAAAAGGUAACGGAGGCGCUCAAAGGUUCUCUCAGUACGGUCGGAAAUCGUACGUAGAGUGUAAAGGCAAAAGAGAGCUUGAUUGCAAGACAUACAGGUCGAGCAAGGAUGAAAAUCGGACUUAGUGAUCCGGUGGUUCUGCGUGGAAGGGCCAUCGCUCAACGGAUAAAAGCUACCCUGGGGAUAACAGGCUUAUCUCCCCCAAGAGUCCACAUCGACGGGGAGGUUUGGCACCUCGAUGUCGGCUCAUCACAUCCUGGGGCUGUAGUAGGUCCCAAGGGUUGGGCUGUUCGCCCAUUAAAGUGGUACGCGAGCUGGGUUCAGAACGUCGUGAGACAGUUCGGUCCCUAUCCGUCGCAGGCGUAGGAAAUUUGAGAAGACCUGUCCUUAGUACGAGAGGACCGGGAUGGACGUACCUCUGGUGUACCAGUUGUUCUGCCAAGGGCAUGGCUGGGUAGCUAUGUACGGAAUGGAUAAGCGCUGAAAGCAUCUAAGCGCGAAGCCAACUUCAAGAUAAGAUUUCCCACCGCAAGGGUAAGACCCCAGAAAGACUAUCUGGUUGAUAGGUCGAAGGUGUAAGUGCAGCAAUGUAUUUAGCUUAUCGAUACUAAUAGGUCGAGGACUUGACCAA
rnacentral:rRNA from 1 species